UCUGUGUUUUUUGCCCCCAACGGCUGGUUAUGGUUAGGGUUAGGGGUAAGGUUAAGGUUAGGUGCCUCGAAGGCAGCGGCCGCAGCGCUGACUGGAAGGAGCAGUUGGGGGCAAAAAACACCAUUGAGCGUUUACACCAGACCGUGCCGUGAAUUCAAAAGGACAAAAUGAGAAAUGUCAAACACUAAUAUUAAUUUUCUGAUCACAAGGGGCAAGAAAAUAAACUGGCUUCUUGAAUGCCAAACACAG